rnacentral:rRNA from 1 species
GAUGAACGCUGGCGGCGUGCCUAAUACAUGCAAGUAGAACGCUGAAGGAGGAGCUUGCUCUUCUGGAUGAGUUGCGAACGGGUGAGUAACGCGUAGGUAACCUGCCUGGUAGCGGGGGAUAACUAUUGGAAACGAUAGCUAAUACCGCAUGACAACAGUUAUUGCAUGAUAACUGUUUAAAAGGGGCAACUGCUCCACUACCAGAUGGACCUGCGUUGUAUUAGCUAGUUGGUGAGGUAACGGCUCACCAAGGCGACGAUACAUAGCCGACCUGAGAGGGUGAUCGGCCACACUGGGACUGAGACACGGCCCAGACUCCUACGGGAGGCAGCAGUAGGGAAUCUUCGGCAAUGGACGGAAGUCUGACCGAGCAACGCCGCGCGAGUGAAGAAGGUUUUCGGAUCGUAAAGCUCUGUUGUAAGAGAAGAACGAGUGUGAGAGUGGAAAGUUCACACUGUGACGGUAUCUUACCAGAAAGAGACGGCUAACUACGUG